GUCUACGGCCAUGCCACCCUGAACAGGCCCGAACCCGUCUGAUCUAGGAAGCUAGGCGGGGUUGGGCCUGGUUAGUACUUGGAAGACAGACCACCUAGGAAGACCAGGUGCUGUAGGUG
rnacentral:rRNA from 1 species